GGACUGACUGCUGGCUCCUUGUGCUGCUGUGCAACCGCGGGGCUCUGGGACCUCUGUGAUCUCAGAGCCUGCUUGUGACCUCAUGGCCAGGGUGGAGUUGUGUGGAGUGGGUUCUGCUUUCUUUGGAAGGGAGCUCAUCCUGCUCAGCUGCUCUGCCUAAGGGCUGUGACACAGUCCCAGCUCAGCUGAUCUCACAGGUUGGGACAUGAAGGGAUGGAGAGCAGCUCUGCCGAGAAGGACUUGGGGGUACUGCUAGAUGAGAGGUUGGACAUGAGCCAGCCAUGUGCAUCCAAAGGAGAGUGCCCAGCAGGUUGAAGGAGGUGACUCCCCCCCUCUGCUCUGGUGGGACCCCACCUGGAGUACUGUGGAAGAUGUUUUACAGUGACCUCUGUGAACAAUCGAGAAGUUAGAUGCAGCCGGCACCUCAACACAUUCUGACAUCAUCUGGAAAAGCAUGAGAAGAGCUUUCUGCUGGGGAACAGCUUGUUUGAUGAACUUGAUGGCCAUUGUGGCUGGUGUGGCACUGUGCCUGAUGAUGUUCUGUGCUGGAAUCUGGUAUUGCUGGAAGAUAAAACGGUGCUCCUGUGCAUCUUCAGACGACGAACCUAAAAACAGAGGCAAUGAAAUCCUGGCAGUUUAUCCCAGCUCUUCCCUUCUGCCCCUAUCUGCCCCGCCAUGGCUGCAUCACCGUCAUGAGGCCGUCCCAAAACCCACCCCUCCACAACAAGACCCUCUGCCCCUCAGCCCCCUGGUCCUGUUCCCCGGCCAGGACUGAAGGUGGGCAGCCCUUGUCUGCCAGGGCAAAGCUUGGCCCACAUUUUAUGUUGAAAUAAAGAAAUAGAGUUUUCA